UGGGGAAUAUUGGACAAUGGGGGAAACCCUGAUCCAGCGACGCCGCGUGUGUGAAGAAGGCCUGCGGGUUGUAAAGCACUUUCGGUGGGAACGAAAUAUGCCGGGCUAAUACCCCGGUAGGCUGACGUUACUCAAUGAAGAAGCACCGGCUAACUCUGUGCCAGCAGCCGCGGUAAUACAGAGGGUGCGAGCGUUAAUCGGAAUUACUGGGCGUAAAGCGUGCGCAGGCGGUUGUGUAAGUCAGAUGUGAAAUCCCCGGGCUCAACCUGGGAAUUGCAUUUGAGACUGUACGGCUAGAGUGUGUCAGAGGGGGGUAGAAUUCCACGUGUAGCAGUGAAAUGCGUAGAUAUGUGGAGGAAUACCGAUGGCGAAGGCAGCCCCCUGGGAUAACACUGACGCUCAUGCACGAAAGCGUGGGGAGCAAACAGGAUUAGAUACCCCUGUAGUCCCUGAGCGGGCUGGCAAGGCGCAU
rnacentral:rRNA from 1 species